CGAGGAGGUAGGGCUUACGCUUGCGUUUGUCUGUUAUAUCUUGGUGGACGAGUUGUCGCGGUUGGGACUGAGGUGCCUACAACGUGCUUUUGAGUGAGUUUGUGUCUCCGUGUGCGCCGUGUGCGGAUAGCUUGCUAUGUAUGUGCGGUUGUGUGUGGAUUGAUGCGGGCCUUAACUUGUUGCCGUUCGGGACGUUGGCGAAAUGGAGCGAUCCGACCCGUCUUGAAACACGGACCAAGGAGUCUAACAUGUGUGCAAGUGUUAGGGUGUGGAAACCCCAGCGCGAAAUGAAAGUGAAGGGCAGCGCAAGUUGUCUGAGGUAGGAAACGUUGUGGACUUCGGUCUGCGGCGUGGCACUAUCGACCGAUCAUGAACCUUCGUGGUGAAAGAUUUGAGUUUGAGCACAUAUGUUGGUACCCGAAAGAUGGUGAACUAUGCCUGAGUAGGGUGAAGCCAGGGGAAACUCUGGUGGAAGCUCGUAGCGAUUCUGACGUGCAAAUCGAUCGUCAAACUUGGGUAUAGGGGCGAAAGACUAAUCGAACCAUCUAGUAGCUGGUUCCCUCCGAAAUUUCCCUCAGGAUAGCAGCAACUUAUUUACGAUAGUUUUAUGAGGUAAAGCGAAUGAUUAGAGGAUUCGGGGAAGAAACUUCCUCGACCUAUUCUCAAACUUUAAAUCUGUAAGACCUGCAGGUUUCUUAAU
rnacentral:rRNA from 1 species